ACGAGCCACAUGCAGGGAAACUUGCAUGUGUGGUUUUGGCUGGGAACCCCAGUAUAUUAUAGUAUAAUGUGUAGGUUCUUGUAAUUUGAGUGAGAUUGUCAUGGCGCAAAAGCUGAAAUGGUUUGGUAUUCCCAU
rnacentral:ncRNA from 1 species